GAUGAACGCUGGGGGCGUGCCUAAUACAUGCAAGUCGAGCGGAAAGGCCUCUUCGGAGGUACUCGAGCGGCGGACGGCUGAGUAACACGUAGGAACAUACCCCAAAGUGAGGGAUAAGCACCGGAAACGGUGUCUAAUACCGCAUGUGCUCUAAGGAGUAAAGCUUCGGCGCUUUGGGAAUGGCCUGCGCAUGAUUAGCUUGUUGGUGAGGUAAUGGCUCACCAAGGCGACGAUCAUUAGCUGGUCUGAGAGGAUGAUCAGCCAGACUGGGACUGGGACACGGCCCAGACUCCUACGGGAGGCAGCAGUAGGGAAUGUUCCACAAUGGGCGAAAGCCUGAUGGAGCAACGCCGCGUGCAGGAUGAAUGCCUUAGGGUUGUAAACUGCUUUUAUAUGUGACGAAUAUGACGGUAGCAUAUGAAUAAGGAUCGGCUAACUCCGUGCCAGCCGCCGCGGUAA
rnacentral:rRNA from 1 species